ensembl:antisense
AAAAGCCGAAGGUACGCGAGAGGAAACCAGCUCUCCUGGUUGGUCCAGGGUCUCACUCUGGACCAUAGUUUGGGGCCAGCCUGGACUACACAAUGACCUUACUAUUCACUAUGUAGCCUAGAGUGGCCUCAGACUGAUGGAAGUCCUGCUUGAACCUUCCACCUGUUAUAGCCCAGCACCUUUGGAUGCCAACCUCCCAUGACUCUGGACGAGGUCUGUGACAUCACAUACACGUUCAUGGGCUGCUGCCCGAAGGGACACAGUGAUGCAGAGAUUCCCACCUGCACUGUCCCCUGCAAGGCAUAUCCGCUCUCCAGUUGAACCUAGUUGUGGGGAGAAGAGCCCAGUCAUAGCCUGGCACGAGCAGGCUCUCAGGUGAGGUCAUAGGAGAUGAGCCUGGCUAGCACAGGAGCUGGUCCCGUGUGUGCCAAGGGAGGUGAGAUGGUAACUGUGAGCCUGGGAUCAGAGCCCAGUUCUUCCUAUGUGCUCGCCUUGGACUUGGGGCCCUGUAGUGAGCGGUUGUGGCUUCGCUGGCUACCUGGGAGUCAGUGUCUAUCUGUAAGCAGGCCCGGGCUUUCUCCUGGCUCUGAGCUUACCGAGAGCACCUCAAUCUCAGUGAUGUUCCAGAAGGCUUUCCAGAAGUGCACAUCCAGGUUCUGUAUGAUGCGUUCAAAUUCAGCCCCACGCAACUCUGGGUCUAUGGCGAAUCGGCCACCGUGCUCCCCGAAGGACACCAGCCCGAUGGAGAGAGUCUGCAGGAACGGCCGGAUGGCAGGUGUGAACUGUGAAGGGAUGCAUGUGUCACCCAACUACCCAGGACAGGGAUGAGGAUGGGGCACGAGUUGGGACAGAGAGGAGUAGGUACAUACAUUUGGUAAGCUUUUACUGAGCUGCUGUGGUGUGCUGUGGGCAUCACCCUGGGUCCUUUCAUGGACCUAGUGUCCUCAAAAGGAAGGAGACGAUGAACAAAAUAAAGACAUGUCUGAAUC